AGUUAAACAGUACGUGAAAUUGUUGAAAGGGAAACGAUUGAAGUCAGUCAUACCAACGGGAAAUCAACCUUUUGAGCUUGGUCUCGUGGGUUUUGAAGAGUUUCAAAGCCUUCGGAUUCGCGGGAUUGGGAUCUCUUGGUGUACUUUUUCGUUCGGUUAGUCAACAUCGGUUUUGAAUGUCAUAAAAUGACUGGAGGAAUGUAGCUUCGAUCUCGUAUUGAAGUGUUAUAGCCUUUGGUAGAUGUGAUGUUUGAGACCGAGGAUUGCAACGGAUACCCUUCAGGGCUAUUCGUCUGAUCUCUGAUACGUUGCCUUGAUGUUGAAAGCUUGCUUAUGAUGUUAGGGUAUUACGGUCAAAAGGUUAGAACGAAUUACAUUCGUUAAGGAUGUUGACGUAAUGACUUUAAA
rnacentral:misc_RNA from 1 species